UCGACCUUACUUGAACAGGAUCUGUUCUAUGGGCUCAUACCUCUGUGUCCUUGAGUUCUAAGAGACAGGAUAUCAAGUCUGGUGGAUGAAUCAUGAACGCGUGGGCAGAUCGUGAUUAACAGCCUCCUUGCUUGCUCUGAUCUCUGAAUCAGUAGAUGAUCGUUCCCAGCCGGUCUCACUGACUGGGGUGGUCACGCGGUUGUCUGACAGACU